CCAGCAGCCGCGGUAAUUCCAGCUCCAAUAGCGUAUAUUAAAGUUGUUGCAGUUAAAACGCUCGUAGUCUGAUGUAAUGGGGACUGGAGUGGGGAGCAGCGAUGCUCUUUGCUUUGGUCCUCAUCAGGGGGACAGCAAUGUCCCAGUUUACUUUGAGAAAAUUAGAGUGUUCAAAGCAGGCAUAACCCAGCCUUGAAUAUUGCAGCUUGGGAUAAUGAAACAGGACGAGAGUUCUAUUUUGUUGGUUUCUAGGGCUUUUGUAAUGAUUAAAAGGGACAGUUGGGGGCAUUAGUAUUCAGUUGUCAGAGGUGAAAUUCUAGGAUUUACUGAAGACUAACUACUGCGAAAGC
rnacentral:rRNA from 1 species